rnacentral:rRNA from 1 species
UACGUAGGGUGCGAGCGCUGUCCGGAAUUACUGGGCGUAAAGAGCUCGUAGGCGGUCUGUCGCGUCUGCUGUGAAAACCCGAGGCUCAACCUCGGGCCUGCAGUGGGUACGGGCAGACUAGAGUGCGGUAGGGGAGAAUGGAAUUCCUGGUGUAGCGGUGGAAUGCGCAGAUAUCAGGAGGAACACCGAUGGCGAAGGCAGUUCUCUGGGCCGUAACUGACGCUGAGGAGCGAAAGCGUGGGGAGCGAACAGG